AUGUUCUGGUGUUUGACACUGACGUUGAUAAAGUACAAAAGUUUAUGUCCAAAAUAUUGUCCAACUUUCAGCCAUUUCUAUCAAUGUUAUGCCACGUUUGAAAGUUUUAUUACUGUCCUUUAUACUGUCCCUUUCCUUUACUACUGUCCCUUUACUUUACUACUAUGUCCCUUUCCUUCACUACUGUGUCCCUUUCCUUCACUACUGUGUCCCUUUCCUUCACUACUGUCCCUUUCCUUUACUACUGUGUCCCUUUCCUUCACUACUGUCCCUUUCCUUUACUACUGUCCCUUUCAUUUACUACUGUCCCUUUCCUUUACUACUGUCCAUUUCCUUUACUACUGUCCCUUUCCUUCACUGCUGUCCCUUUCCUUUCUACUGUCCCUUUCCUUUACUACUGUCCCUUUCCUUUACUACUGUCCCUUUCCUUUACUACUGUCCCUUUCCUUCACUACUGUCCCUUUCCUUUACUACUGUCCCUUUCCUUUACUACUGUCCCUUUCCUUUCUACUGUCCAUUUCCUUUACUACUGUCCCUUUCCUUUACUACUGUCCCUUUCCUUUACUACUGUCCCUUUCCUUUACUACUGUCCCUUUCCUUUACUACUGUCCCUUUCCUUCACUACUGUCCCUUUCCUUUACUACUGUCCCUUUCCUUUACUACUGUCCCUUUCCUUCACUACUGUCCCUUUACUACUGUCCCUUUCUUUUACUACUGUCCCUUUACUACUGUCCCUUUCCUUUACUACUGUCCCUUUCCUUUACUACUGUCCCUUUCCUUCUCUACUGUCCCUUUCCUUUACUACUGUCCCUUUCCUUUCCUACUGUCCCUUUACUACUGUCCCUUUCCUUUACUACUGUCCAUUUCCUUUACUACUGUCCCUUUCCUUCUCUACUGUCCCUUUCCUUUACUACUGUCCCUUUCCUUUACUACUGUCCCUUUCCUUUACUACUGUCCCUUUCCUUCACUACUGUCCCUUUCCUUUACUACUGUCCCUUUCCUUCACUACUGUCCCUUUCCUUUACUACUGUCCCUUUCCAUUACUACUGUCCCUUUACUACUGUCCCUUUCCUUUACUACUGUCCCCUUUCCUUUACUACUGUCCCUUUCCUUCUCUACUGUCCCUUUCCUUUACUACUGCCCCUUUCCUUUACUACUGUCCCUUUCCUUUACUACUGCUCCUUUCCUUUACUACUGCCCCUUUCCUUUACUACUGUCCCUUUCCUUUACUACUGUCCCUUUCCUUUACUACCGUCCCUUUCCUUUACUACUGUCCCUUUCCUUUACUACUGUCCCUUUCCUUCACUACUGUCCCUUUCCUUUACUACUGUCCCUUUCCUUUACUACUGUCCCCUUUCCUUUACUACUGUCCCUUUCCUUUACUACUGUCCCUUUCCUUUACUACUGUCCCUUUCCUUUACUACUGUCCCUUUCCUUUACUACUGUCCCUUUCCUUUACUACUGUCCCUUUCCUUUACUACUGUCCCUUUCCUUACUACUGUCCCUUUCCUUACUACUGUCCCUUUCCUUACUACUGUCCCUUUCCUUUCACUACUGUCCCUUCUCCUUUCCUUUACUACUGUCCCUUUCCUUUACUACUGUCCCUUUACUACUGUCCCUUUCCUUUACUACUGUCCCUUUCCUUUACUACUGUCCCUUUCCUUCUCUACUGUCCCCUUUCCUUUACUACUGCCCCUUUCCUUUACUACUGUCCCUUUCCUUUACUACUGUCCCUUUCCUUUACUACUGUCCCUUUCCUUCACUACUGUCCCUUUCCUUCACUACUGUCCCUUUCCUUUACUACUGUCCCUUUCCUUUACUACUGUCCCUUUCCUUCACUACUGUCCCUUUCCUUUACUACCGUCCCUUUCCUUUACUACUGUCCCUUUCCUUUACUACUGUCCCUUUCCUUUACUACUGUCCCUUUCCUUUACUACUGUCCCUUUCCUUUACUACUGCCCCUUUCCUUUACUACUGUCCCUUUCCUUUACUACUGUCCCUUUCCUUUACUACCGUCCCUUUCCUUUACUACCGUCCCUUUCCUUUACUACUGUCCCUUUCCUUUACUACUGUCCCUUUCCUUCACUACUGUCCCUUUCCUUUCUACUGUCCCUUUCCUUUACUACCGUCCCUUUCCUUUACUACUGUCCCUUUCCUUUACUACUGUCCCUUUCCUUUCUACUGUCCCUUUCCUUUACUACCGUCCCUUUCCUUUACUACUGUCCCUUUCCUUUACUACUGUCCCUUUCCUUCACUACUGUCCCUUUCCUUUACUACUGUCCCUUUCCUACUGUCCCUUUCCUUCACUACUGUCUCUUUCCUUCACUACUGUCCCUUUCCUUUACUACUGUCCCUUUACUACUGUCCCUUUCCUUUACUACUGUCCCUUUCCUUUACUACUGUCCCUUUCCUUCUCUACUGUCCCUUUCCUUUACUACUGUCGCUUUCCUACUGUCCCUUUCCUUCACUACUGUCUCUUUCCUUCACUACUGUCCCUUUCCUUUACUACUGUCCCUUUCCUACUGUCCCUUUCCUUCACUACUGUCUCUUUCCUUCACUACUGUCCCUUUCCUUUACUACUGUCCCUUUACUACUGUCCCUUUCCUUUACUACUGUCCCUUUCCUUUACUACUGUCCCUUUC
rnacentral:lncRNA from 1 species